rnacentral:rRNA from 1 species
AUUGAACGCUGGCGGCAGGCCUAACACAUGCAAGUCGAGCGGUAGAGAGGUGCUUGCAUCUCUUGAGAGCGGCGGACGGGUGAGUAAUGCCUAGGAAUCUGCCUAGUGGUGGGGGAUAACGUUCGGAAACGGACGCUAAUACCGCAUACGUCCUACGGGAGAAAGCGGGGGGAUCUUCGGACCUCGCGCCAUUAGAUGAGCCUAGGUCGGAUUAGCUAGUUGGUGAGGUAAUGGCUCACCAAGGCGACGAUCCGUAACUGGUCUGAGAGGAUGAUCAGUCACACUGGAACUGAGACACGGUCCAGACUCCUACGGGAGGCAGCAGUGGGGAAUAUUGGACAAUGGGCGCAAGCCUGAUCCAGCCAUGCCGCGUGUGUGAAGAAGGCCUCGGUUGUAAG